CACGUAGGGCGCAAGCGUUGUCCGGAAUUAUUGGGCGUAAAGAGCUCGUAGGCGGUCUGUUGCGUCCGCUGUGAAAACUCGGGGCUUAACCCCGAGCCUGCAGUGGAUACGGGCAGACUAGAGGUAGGUAGGGGAGAAUGGAAUUCCCGGUGUAGCGGUGAAAUGCGCAGAUAUCGGGAGGAACACCUGUGGCGAAAGCGGCUCACUGGACCACAACUGACGCUGAGGUGCGAAAGCGUGGGGAGCAAACAGG
rnacentral:rRNA from 1 species